CCAGAGUGUGGUGCGCUGAGCUCCCGUUAGGCUCCGCGGGGCCUCGCUCGACGCGGCGGCAGAGGGGACACGUGGGAGGCACAGCGUGUGUCGCCGCGGAUCCCCACGAGCGUGGGGGGCUGUGGGCCUGCCCCUGCCCCGCGUGGGGCGCCGGCCUCCGCCCAGUCUGCCCUCUGGGAGCUUCUCUGUUGGCCGAGAGGGCCGAGAGCCGGCGUCGUCGGACCGUCAGGGGCGGAAUAAAAUUGGAGAGCCAGACAGAGCUGACAGAAAAUGCUCCAUCCCUGAAGGAAAAUCAAGACACUGAAAGUGAGUGGAAUCACCUGAAAUUUACCUCAUGUCAAUCACUUGACUGACGACAACGCUGGGUUUGGAGUCUUUUUCUUCAUCCAUGUUGUACAGGAAGAGCUUGAAGUCACAGACGACAGCCAGGGCUCUCUGCCAUCCCUUCCUCGCCCCUGCCUUCUUUGGGAUCUUUAGUUUGGAUUUAAAAACAUCAACAAAUAAAAACGGUAUGAGCUAAAUCAUCACAUGCUAUCCAAUUAUUGUACAUACAAUUAAAAU